rnacentral:rRNA from 1 species
UAAACUAGGAUUAGAUACCCUAUUAUUUAAAAUGUAACUUUAAUCACUAAGGUAGUAGUAGUUAUGUUCUUGAAACUUAAAAAAUUUGGCGGUAUUUUAGUCUAUUCAGAGGAACCUGUCCUGUAAUUGAUAAUCCACGAUGUACCUCACUUAAAUUUGUUUUUCAGUUUAUAUACCGUCGUUAUCAGAAUAUUUUAUUAGAAUAAUAAUUUUCUAUAAUUUUUAUAAGAAUUUAUAUCAGAUCAAGGUGUAGCUAAUAUUUAAGUAGAGAUGGGUUACAAUAAAUUUAUUUAAACGGAUCUAAUUUUGAAAUGUUUAGUGAAGGUGGAUUUGAUAGUAAAAUUUUAAAGAUUGUUAAUUUGAUUUUAGCUCUAGAAUAUGCACACAUCGCCCGUCGCUCUUGCUAUUAAGGCAAGAUAAGUCGUAACAUAGUA